UACAGAGGUCUCAAGCGUUGUUCGGAUUCAUUGGGCGUAAAGGGUGUGUAGGUGGCGCCGUAAGUCGGGGUGUGAAAUUUCGGAGCUUAACUCCGAAACUGCAUUCGAUACUGCCGUGCUUGAGGACUGGAGAGGAGACUGGAAUUUACGGUGUAGCGGUGAAAUGCGUAGAUAUCGUAAGGAAGACCAGUGGCGAAGGCGGGUCUCUGGACAGUUCCUGACGCUGAGGCACGAAGGUCAGGGGAGCAAACGGG
rnacentral:rRNA from 1 species